rnacentral:rRNA from 1 species
GGGAAUCUUGCACAAUGGGGGCAACCCUGAUGCAGCGACGCCGCGUGAGCGAUGAAGCCCUUCGGGGCGUAAAGCUCUUUCGACCGGAACGAUAAUGACGGUACCGGGAGAAGAAGCUGCGGCUAACUACGUGCCAGCAGCCGCGGUAAUACGUAGGGGGCAAGCGUUGUCCGGAUUUACUGGGUGUAAAGGGAGCGCAGGCGGGAUAAAAAGUCAGUGGUGAAAUCCUACAGCUUAACUGUAGAACUGCCUUUGAUACUUUUAUUCUUGAGUUCGGGAGGGAGAGACGGAGUGCCAGGUGUAGUGGUGAAAUACGUAGAUAUCUGGAAGAACACCGGUUGCGAAGGCGGUCUCUUGGUCCGACACUGACGCUGAGGCGCUAAAGCGUG